CUCGCGGGGGCGCGCCGGGUU
rnacentral:miRNA from 1 species